UGGCGGACGGGUGAGUAAUGUCUGGGAAACUGCCCGAUGGAGGGGGAUAACUACUGGAAACGGUAGCUAAUACCGCAUAACGUCGCAAGACCAAAGAGGGGGACCUUCGGGCCUCUUGCCAUCGGAUGUGCCCAUAUGGGAUUAGCUAGUAGGUAAGGUAACGGCUUACCUAGGCGACGAUCCCUAGCUGGUCUGAGAGGAUGACCAGCCACACUGGAACUGAGACACGGUCCAG
rnacentral:rRNA from 1 species